GACGAACGCUGGCGGCGUGCUUAACACAUGCAAGUCGAACGAAGUGGCGAACGGGUGAGUAAUACGUGAGUAACCUGCCAUCCUUUUUGGGAUAAGACUUGGAAACGGGGUCUAAUACCGGAUAAAGGGGGAUGGGCUCGCGGCCUAUCAGCUUGUUGGUGGGGUGAUGGCCUACCAAGGCGGUGAAGGGGAGCCGGCCUGAGAGGGUGAUCGUCCACAUGGGGACUGAGAUACGGCCCAGCCUCUUACGGGAGGCAUCAGUGGGGGAGAUUGCACAAUGGUCGAAAGCCUGAUGCAGCGACGCUGCGUGGGGGAUGAAGGCUUUCGGGUUGUAAACCUCUUUCGCUUUCGAACGGGUAGGUGGAGAAGAAGCGCCGGCUAACUACGUGCCAGCAGCCGCGGUAAUUC
rnacentral:rRNA from 1 species